AGAUUUUAAAAUUAAUUUAUAGAUCACCAUUGCUUCCACAUAUAAAUGCAUACAAUUUUUUAAAUAAAUUAUCUUUCUUUUCAUGCCAUUUUUUAUAAGGCACAAUUCUUCUUAAAGUAUCCAUUUUUCUUAUAAAAAUGACAUUUAUCCUUAUUGUCAUCUCGCUUUAUUUGCAUACCUACUUUAUUUUUCCAAGGAAUAUCAUUAUCUUUCUUAGCAUUUCAUUUAGCA
rnacentral:lncRNA from 1 species